UACGGGGGGGGCAAGCGUUGUUCGGAAUUACUGGGCGUAAAGGGCUCGUAGGCGGCCAACUAAGUCAGACGUGAAAUCCCUCGGCUUAACCGGGGAACUGCGUCUGAUACUGGAUGGCUUGAGUGUGGGAGAGGGAUGCGGAAUUCCAGGUGUAGCGGUGAAAUGCGUAGAUAUCGAGAGGAACACCAGUGGCGAAGGCGAGUCCCUGGACAACACCUGACACUGAGGCACGAAAGCUAGGGGAGCAAACAGG
rnacentral:rRNA from 1 species